UACAGAGGGUGCGAGCGUUAAUCGGAAUUACUGGGCGUAAAGCGCGCGUAGGCGGCUUUGCAAGCCGGAUGUGAAAUCCCCGGGCUUAACCUGGGAACUGCAUUCGGGACUGCAUUGCUAGAGUAUGGGAGAGGGAAGUGGAAUUUACAGGUGUAGCGGUGAAAUGCGCAGAUAUCAGGAGGAACACCGGUGGCGAAGGCGGGUCUCUGGGCCGAUACUGACGUGGAGGAGCGAAAGCGUGGGGAGCGAACAGG
rnacentral:rRNA from 1 species